UAUACGUGUACUGUAUCAGGUAAACAAAGCUGUCUAAACGACAAACUUCCUUGUUACGAUGUAAGUGAGACUAACUGUAAAAUGGCUACCAAUACCUCACUGUGUACGAUAUGUGAUCUCCGACAUCUUACCACAUCCUCUACGCACUGGUGUCCAGAAUGUGAGGAAGCACUGUGCACUCAAUGUAAAGAACACCAUAGUCUAUCAAAAUCAUCCCGAGGCCAUCAGAUCAUCCCUAUAUCGGACUACAACAAUUUACCUUCGUUCAUCGGUAAUAUCGACUUAGUAUGCAUUUAUCACAAUGAGAAAUACCUACAAUACUGUGUUAAGCAUGAAUGUUCAAUUUGUUACAAGUGUAUUAAAGAACAUGGAAACUGCGGUGGAUUUACACUUCUUGAAGAACUUACAAUGAACGUAAAGUCAUCGGAAGUGUUCCGAGAUAUGGAACAGAGCUUGAAGGAUAUGAUAGCUAAUAUCGAUCGAAACAGAGAGGACAGGGAAAAAAUAUAAAAAUGAUUAGGAAUAAAAAGAAACAGAUCAUCGAAGAUCGAUGUAAGGUGUAUGAAAAAACAGAUAAACCUGCACCUUGAUAACCUGCAAGAGGAAUUCAUGAAAGAACUUGACAAAAUAGAAGAGGAAUGUUGCAAAAAGAUUCAGUCAAUCGUUUCUUCUCUUAAUAAUCAAAUCAAAGGAAUAGUUCAUUGCAACAAAGAAAUCGAAAACAUGAAGAAUUAUGCUUCCGAUAUACAAACAUUCCUUGGUAUGAGAGAGAUCCUGAAGAAUAUCACCAAAAACGAGCACUGCAUCCAGUCCAUUGUUCAAAAAAAGAAUGUAGAAACAGUUGGCUUAGAUUGUACCAUCGAUGCUAAGAUACAGGAUUUUCUAACUAAUGUAAAGAAAUUUGGUUCCAUUCUGGUUGAUAGCAAGCCGUCUGAAAGCAUCAAAUUAGUCAGAAAGAAAGACAGACAAGCUCAAAUACUUGUGACAGAAGAAAAACGAUCUGUAAACAACAUACAAUUAAAUUUUAGGCAGAAACUAAAAACUUCAUGUGUUGAAACUAGGGGAUGUUGUGUAACUGCAAAUUGUAGAUACAUUUUUACGGAUUACGAUGAAGACAGCCUAGUUGCAUUGAACUCACAUGGUAAGACUGAAUAUACCAUCAAACUUUUAGACUCAUAUAGUGCCUUUGAUUUAGCAUGUAUAGACGACAAUACAGUAGCCGUAACUACUGGAAUAGCAAGUGAAAAGGAUUGUGUUUUAAUUGUGAUUUGACCACCAGAGAAAUAAAGCGGUUCUUUGAAUUACCUGGUACACCUUUUGGCAUUACAUUCGAUGGUAAAUCAUUAAUUUGCUGCUGUACCGGAAAUUUCAUAUCUAUGAUAUCAUGUACAUACUUUAGCUGUACCAAUAUUCCAAACAUAUUAACGUCGCAGGACUCAUAUAUUGCUACGCAUGGUGACAAUUUUUUCUAUACUGUGCCCUAUGAUAGUAAAGUAUCUUGUUUGUAUAAUGGAAAAUCAGUUUGGGAGUUCAAGAAUGAAAGUGUUUUAAAGAACCCAGGAGGAAUUACUGUAGACGAUAAAGAGAAAUGUUUUAGUCGUUGGGAUUGAUUCUAAGAAUAUCGUUGUGAUUUCUCCUGAUGGAAAACAAUACAAAGAGAUACAAACCAAGAAAUAUGGUCUCACUAAACCGAGUACGAUAUUUUUUGACAGCAUAAGGAAGCAGAUGGUAGUUUCAAACGAGGACAAUUUCGCACAUAUCUAUGACAUUUCGUAUUGUUAAAUUUAGUUCUAUAUGAGUGAAGCCCCUAAAAACUAAACGAUCAAGCUAAAAAGGAAAUUACAUAUUUCAACUUUCCAGAACCUGUACCUUUCUUUUUAUUUUACAGACUUUCGAUUUUUGAUGACACUUUCAAAUCUAGUCAAAAUAUUAAGUGAUGUGCGCAUGUAAAAAAUAAAAUAACAAAAAUACCAAAUCCAAGGAAAAUUCAAAAAGGAAAGUCCUUAAUCAAAUGGCAAAAUCAAAAGCUAAAACGAAUGUAAAACAACUUCCAUAUUACUGACUUAGUACAGUCAUUUCCUUAUAUAGAAAAGGGAGGAUUAAACAAGGUUUUAUAGCCAACUAAGCCUCUCACUUGUAUGACAGUCGCAUAGAAUUCCAUUAUAUUGACAACAAUAUGUGAGCAAAACAAAACGAAGUAAUAGGUAGAAAUGUCAAAAAUUCGGUUACAGAUGUCAACAUUGUGUUAUGAUCUUAAUUACUAUAAAAACAAAUAACUAUUUCAAAGUAUACAUGUUUAGCUACCACUUGGCAUAGCCGCUUUGGACAUGAAUGAACCCUCUUUUAUUAUAUUCUGUGUUAUAGAUAUUGUCAAUACAAUUGUCUUGAUUAUUUCA